rnacentral:sRNA from 1 species
GCUGGGUGCAGUGGCACACGCCUGUAAUCCCAAGCAGUUUGGGAGGCUGAAGCAGGAGGAUCACAAGUUCAAAGCCCGCCUCAGCAACUUCACAAAGUCCUAAGCAACUCAGUGAGACCCUGUUUCUA